CGAGCAAGAAUCCAAGAAACAAAGUGGAAAGCAGUUGCUGACAAGCUACAGAGGUUCCAUGUUAAAAAAGGUGUAAGUGCUCCAGAUUUUCAGCUGAUGUCUCUGAAGCCCUCUGAAUGCAACCUACAUAGCUAUGAAGGCAUCGCAAUCAAGGAGGGAUAGAGUUCUCUGCUUGAAGAGCCACCGAAGGGGGUUUGGAUCAAGAUGGCUGAGUAAGAGGACAUGGAGCUCACCUCCCCCUAUGAAUACAUCAAAAAUCCAUCUCCAUGUGGAACAAUUUUCACUAAAAACUAACUGGAAACUGGCCGAUGGACUCCUACACAAUCAUGGCUGCAAGAUGCACAUGUAACCAGAAAUGCACAAUGAGACAGCCCUGCUUCAAAGAUAUUGAAAACCUAUUCAAGAGGAUUAAAGCAAGGAAUGACACAAUCCGAUUUGUAUCAUAGAAAGAUGACUGACAAGAAAAUGGAUAAGUGG